UUUUUCCCCUUUUUUUUUUUUUUAACUUUUUAACUCCUUUUUCUAAUGAUGUUUGAAAAACUCCAAACUUUUUUUAGACCCAUUUUUGCAGAUUUAAUAUAUAUCCUGUCCCUGUCGGCUUCUUUUUAGGAAACCAACGCAUUAAAAUAGGAUAUGUUAUAGUAGGAAUUCUGAUAUGGAAGCGUUACAGGAUCUGGAAGAAAAACCGCCGUCCCACUGAAAAGACAGAGGAUGAACCCAAAGAACAAAAAAAGUCUCCAAAAACAGUUCCACGUGAAGACUUUGAGAAAAUCGAGUCCCUGAAUGUGAUUGUUAAGGAUAUAUGGCAUCUUCUUUCCAAAUACGUGGAAAAGAUGAUUCGAGAGAGGAUUCAGCCUGACAUACGCGCCAAAAGCAAUUAUCUUGCCUCGUUCCGUUUCAUCAAUAUCGAUUUUGGCACGAAGGUAAUGAUCUCUUUCUGUACUUGGGUUAUUCCUCUUCUUGUAAAUAGAUUUCUUGUAACACCCCAAUCUUUAUGCUCAGCCCCCACAGGUAAAGUCUUGGAAAACUCAUGCGGAUCCAGAAAAAAAGCAAAUAAUGUUGGAUCUCGAUAUCAGUUAUAAUGCCGACAUAAAGGUGGAUGCUGGUUUUACGGAAAAAACCCGAUAGCCGGCAUCAAAUCUAUAAAGGUGAGCCUACCAGUCUUAUAUCGCGUACGUUAGCUGCUUCCUUUGCAUUUAUUAUAUAUAUAAACAUUACUUUCUCUUUUGCAGCUGGAGGGAAUCUUGCGGUUAAUUUUGGCACCGCUGAUGGAGGACUCACCCAUAUUUGGAGCACUGAUCGUUUAUUUCCCUCAUCGUCCAGUAAGUUAAGAUUUGGAGCUGGUAAGAUGAAGGUAGAAUUCAUAUGUAGUUAGGAAACCGUCGAUAUUUCUAGUUCUGUAGUCUGAACUCUUCAAUGUGACUGUGCAUUUAUUGCAGGUAUUGGAACUACAAUGGACCGGAUUUGCCCACCUACUGAAUAUUCCUGGACUUCAGUAAGUUGACUUAUAUGUAUUCAUACUCUGCCCUUCCUUUCCCAGCUAUUGCUUUUGUCUUUAAUCAAAAACGUUAUUGCGCUUUAUUCCUCUCCCAAUUCCCUACCUGCUCUAUCUAGCUUAUUUGUACAUUGGAAUAACAUACAUAUUUCCUUCUCCCAUCUCCUUCAGAACGCUGUCGGAAAAAGAGCUUGUGAACCAAAUCGGACAGAUCAUCAUUGCGCCGCAGCAUUUCAGCCAUCCCCUUGCAGCCAGAUUUGAUUUGGCUAAGCUGCAGUUUUUAGAACCCUGGGUAAGGCCUAGUUUGUAUUUUAUAGCCUUCCUGCUUCCCUGUAGAGAGUCAAGGGGGCAAAUUCACUAAGA